rnacentral:rRNA from 1 species
ACGGAAGGCAGCAGUGGGGAAUAUUGCACAAUGGAGGAAACUCUGAUGCAGCGACGCCGCGUGAGUGAAGAAGUAUUUCGGUAUGUAAAGCUCUAUCAGCAAGGAAGAAAAUGACGGUACUUGACUAAGAAGCCCCGGCUAACUACGUGCCAGCAGCCGCGGUAAUACGUAGGGGGCAAGCGUUAUCCGGAUUUACUGGGUGUAAAGGGAGCGUAGACGGCAUAGCAAGUCUGAAGUGAAAUGCAUGGGCUCAACCCAUGAACUGCUUUGGAAACUGUUAAGCUAGAGUGCAGGAGAGGUAAGUGGAAUUCCUAGUGUAGCGGUGAAAUGCGUAGAUAUUAGGAGGAACACCAGUGGCGAAGGCGGCUUACUGGACUGUAACUGACGUUGAGGCUCGAAAGCGUGGGGAGCAAACAGGAUUAGAUACCCUGGUA